AUUGAACGCUGGCGGCAGGCCUAACACAUGCAAGUCGAACGGAGCGGCGGACGGGUGAGUAAUGCCUAGGAAUCUGCAUGGUAGUGGGGGAUCACGUCAGGAAACGGGCGCUAAUACCGCAUACUCUCAGAAGAGCCUAGGUCGGAUUAGCUAGUUGGUGGGGUAAAGGCCUACAAAGGCGACGAUCCGUAACUGGUCUGAGAGGAUGAUCAGUCAUACUGUAACUGAGAAACGUUCCAGACUCCUACGGGAGGCAGCAGUGGGGAAUAUUCGACAAUGGGCGAAAGCCUGAUCCAGCCAUGCCGCGUGUGUGAAGAAGGUCUUCGGAUUGUAAAGCACUGUAAGUUGGGAUGCGUUACCAACAGAAUAAGCACCGGCUAACUUCGUGCCAGCAGCCGCGGUAAUAC
rnacentral:rRNA from 1 species